UACGGAGGGGCUAGCGUUGUUCGGAAUUACUGGGCGUAAAGCGCGCGUAGGCGGACCUGCAAGUCGGGGGUGAAAGCCCGAGGCUCAACCUCGGAACUGCCUUCGAUACUGCGGGUCUCGAGUCCGGGAGAGGUGAGUGGAAUUCCUAGUGUAGAGGUGAAAUUCGUAGAUAUUAGGAAGAACACCAGUGGCGAAGGCGGCUCAGCUGGCCCGGUACUGACGCGUGAGGCGCGAAAGCGUGGGGAGCAAACAGG
rnacentral:rRNA from 1 species